UGGGGAAUUUUGGACAAUGGGCGAAAGCCUGAUCCAGCAAUGCCGCGUGUGUGAAGAAGGCCUUCGGGUUGUAAAGCACUUUUGUCCGGAAAGAAAUCCUUGGCUCUAAUACAGUCGGGGGAUGACGGUACCGGAAGAAUAAGCACCGGCUAACUACGUGCCAGCAGCCGCGGUAAUACGUAGGGUGCAAGCGUUAAUCGGAAUUACUGGGCGUAAAGCGUGCGCAGGCGGUUUGCUAAGACCGAUGUGAAAUCCCCGGGCGUCAACCUGGGAACUGGCAAUUGGUGAUCUGGCAGGCUAGAGUAUGGCAGAGGGGGUGAGAAUUAUCCACGUGUAGCAGUGAAAUGCGUAGAGAUGUGGAGGAAUACCGAUGGCGAAGGCAGCCCUCGGCAGUCACUGACGCUCAUGCACGAAAGCGUGGGGAGCAAACAGGAUUAGAUACCCUGGUAGUCCACGCCCUAAAACGAUGUCAACUAGUUGUUGGGGAUUCAUUUCCUUAGUAACGUAGCUAACGCGUGAAGUUGACCGCCUGGGGAGUACGGUCGCAAGAUUAAAAACUCAAAGGAAUUGACGGGGUCAUAGCUGUUUCCU
rnacentral:rRNA from 1 species